GGCUGCCCAGCCCACGGUUGAGGAUCCCUCUGAGGUUGUGAACUGCCAUGCUAGCUUCCCAGAUGGCCCAGCUUGGGUGAAGUCCUGGCGACUCUGCCAGCACCACCAGAUGAUGAUGGGAAGCAAACUGCAGGGACCUCGAAGAGGUGCAGGACCUGAGCAGGCAGCCUUAGCAGGAGUGGACAGGCUGAGGUGCCCUGGGCCCUGAGCCCACAGUGAGGCCUGGCUGUGGCUUAUCUCUCCUUGUCCUCAGCCCGUACUGCCUGAGGUCUGUCACCAAGAAUGUGAAUGAAGCACUAGGUUUUCAUCCUUUAUUAUAGAGGACAUUGGCAAGACAUGUACGAGAUGCCAUAAUGUGAACAGACCUUUUCUGCCACACUCAUCUUGGCAUCAUGUUCUGCCUCACCAGAGACUCAAAAGCAACGGAGCCAGCUUAUCAUGGACUGAAACCACCAAAACUGGUCUUCUACCCACACCAUUUCUGCCUUGGAGUCAGCUAACUGUGGACUGAGACCAUAGAGAGCAUGGAUGCUAAAAUAUUAGCAUUAUAAAGAAGCCAAGUAAUUUGCAUCAGGACAAUAGAAAAGAUGGCUUGAGGACAUCUCAGGAAUCAGCAAGACCCACAAUUUCAAAGGCUCAAGAGUGUGAAAGUGAAAGACUUUGCCUUGAGAAGAGAGUACCAAAGCACCCUACUGAAGAAGGGCUGCCUAGGGAAUUGGUUCUCUGAUAUUCAGUUCAUAGUGCUCAGCCAUCUAGGCACUUGGAUGCCUCUAUAGCCAUGAUCCAGGGAGGCCUGCCACUGCUAGAACUCAUGGCAAACUUUUGGUUCAUCCACAUGGUGGUCUUAAGGCCAUGCAGAAUGCAAGAGUUGUGAAGUCAGAGAUGCUCCCACCCCAAUUUCAGAAGAAGGCCUAGAAGGCCAGGCAGUGUGCCCCUGAGAAAACAGAGCAUGAAAAUUUGAAACCAAAAGUGCAAUGAAGACCUCAGGAAGUUGGCGAUUCCAGG
rnacentral:lncRNA from 1 species